CAUUGUCUUGAUUUUACAGUAUCACUUUUAAGUGUCUUUUCGGGUGCUCGAAAGUUUCAUGUUUGCUAGCUGCACAUGAAGGUCUAAUUGAGAUUUUCAAUUGCAGUUUCGAACACACAAGGUUAUUUACGGGCGAUAUGCUGGACUGUUUUUCUUGCUCUAUGUUGACAUAACGGAUAACGAGCUUGCAUGCUUGGAGUGCAUUCACUUAUUGUAGAGAUUUUGAAUCACUUCUUCGGCAAUGUCUGUGAACUAGACUUGGUAUUCAAUUUUCAUAAGUGGAUGAAUGAUUCAAGAAUGCCUUCACACCAGGAGGAGGAAGAGUUGUCGAAACAUCCAAUUCCCUUUCAAUGUUACUAAAAUUCAGAACCUCGGCCACCAGAGAAGGGCGGCGUGAAGUGGGCAAUAGCGGCGGAGGUGACUGCGAAUUAGAUUCAUCGAAGCGAUAAGCGAAGAAGAGGGAGAGAAGAUCGUGAAGUGAGAUCAUGAGCCGGACUUUUCAUCGAAAAGAAAUUGGAUUGUAAAUGGGUUCAAAAUAUACUCAUUUAAGACCCAUAUAUUUUGGCCUUCUUAUUUUUAAAGCCCAUUAUGGCUGACUUGUAAAAAAGGAAUAACCCAUUAUCGAUCCAUUUAAGCAAACAUGAGUGGAUUUUGGACCCAUUUGAUAGGUCUAUAAUGGAUAUGCUUUUGAACCUAGAACUUGGUUUUAUGAAUUUAUUAUUAUAAUUAUUAACUUUAUUAUUU